rnacentral:rRNA from 2 species
GACGAACCGUGCGAACGUUGUUCGGAAUCACUGGGCUUAAAGGGCGCGUAGGCGGCUGAUCAAGUCCGGGGUGAAAUCCUGCAGCUUAACUGUAGAAGUGCCUUGGAUACUGGUCGGCUCGAGGGAGGUAGGGGUCUGUGGAACUGCUGGUGGAGCGGUGAAAUGCGUUGAUAUCAGCAGGAACGCCGGUGGCGAAAGCGACGGACUGGACCUCUUCUGACGCUGAGGCGCGAAAGCUAGGGGAGCAAACGGG